AACGAACGCUGGCGGCAUGCCUAACACAUGCAAGUCGAACGAAGCCUUCGGGCUUGGUGGCGCACGGGUGCGUAACGCGUGGGAAUCUGCCCUUUGGUUCGGAAUAACAGUUGGAAACGACUGCUAAUACCGGAUGAUGACGAAAGUCCAAAGAUUUAUCGCCAGAGGAUGAGCCCGCGUAGGAUUAGCUAGUUGGUGUGGUAAAGGCGCACCAAGGCGACGAUCCUUAGCUGGUCUGAGUGGAUGAUCAGCCACACUGGGACCGAGACACGGCCCAGACUCCUACGGGAGGCAGCAGUGGGGAAUAUUGGACAAUGGGCGAAAGCCUGAUCCAGCAAUGCCGCGUGAGUGAUGAAGGCCCUAGGGUUGUAAAGCUCUUUUACCCGGGAUGAUAAUGACAGUACCGGGAGAAUAAGCCCCGGCUAACUCCGUGCCAGCCGCCGCCGUAA
rnacentral:rRNA from 1 species